rnacentral:rRNA from 1 species
UCAGCUUUGGAUGGUAGUGUAUUGGACUACCAUGGCAAUCACGGGUAACGGAGAAUUAGGGUUCGAUUCCGGAGAGGGAGCCUGAGAAAACGGCUACCACAUCUACGGAAGGCAGCAGGCGCGAAAAUUGCCCAAUCCUGAUUCAGGGAGGCAGUGACAAGAAAUAACAACUUUCAACUUUGUUGAAAAGUGUAAUGAGGAUAAUUUACAAACCUUACCGAAAGUAAUUGGAGGGCAAGUCUGGUGCCAGCAGCCGCGGUAAUUCCAGCUCCAAAAGCGUAUAUUAAAGUUGUUGCAGUUAAAAAGCUCGUAGUUGAAGUUCUGGCUGUAUUGGGCCUCUGCACUCGAUGCGGAGGAACCAGCAGUCAUCCGCUUGCAAAUACAUGUCCUUCCUUAACCGGUAGGCUGUAUAAGUAAGCACUUUACCUUGAGAAAAACAGAGUGUUCCAGGCAGGUUGUCCGGAAUCGCGUUAGCAUGGAAUAAUAGAAUAUGACUGAAGUCGAUUUA